UACGGAGGGUGCGAGCGUUGUCCGGAAUCACUGGGCGUAAAGGGCGCGUAGGUGGCCUGUGGAAGUCUGCGGUGAAAGCCCGGCGCUCAACGCCGGGUCGGCCGUGGAUACUCUCGGGCUCGAGCUUACUAGAGGCAGAUGGAAUUCCGGGUGUAGCGGUGGAAUGCGUAGAGAUCCGGAAGAACACCGGUGGCGAAGGCGGCCUGCUGGGGUCGAACUGACGCUGAGGCGCGACAGCGUGGGGAGCAAACAGG
rnacentral:rRNA from 1 species